rnacentral:rRNA from 1 species
AUUGAACGCUGGCGGCAUGCCUUACACAUGCAAGUCGAACGGUAACAGGUCUUCGGAUGCUGACGAGUGGCGAACGGGUGAGUAAUACAUCGGAACGUGCCCGAUCGUGGGGGAUAACGGAGCGAAAGCUUUGCUAAUACCGCAUACGAUCUACGGAUGAAAGCGGGGGACCUCAAGGCCUUGCGCGGACGGAGCGGCCGAUGGCAGAUUAGGUAGUUGGUGGGAUAAAAGCUUACCAAGCCGACGAUCUGUAGCUGGUCUGAGAGGACGACCAGCCACACUGGGACUGAGACACGGCCCAGACUCCUGCGGGAGGCAGCAGUGGGGAAUUUUGGACAAUGGGCGCAAGCCUGAUCCAGCCAUGCCGCGUGCAGGAUGAAGGCCUUCGGGUUGUAAACUGCUUUUGUACGGAACGAAAAGCCCCUUUCUAAUAAAGAGAGGUCAUGACGGUACCGUAAGAAUAAGCACCGGCUAACUACGUGCCAGCCGCCGCGGUAAGAC